GACGAACGCUGGCGGCGUGCUUAACACAUGCAAGUCGAACGGAGGAUUUAUUUCGGUAAAUCCUUAGUGGCGAACGGGUGAGUAACGCGUGGGCAACCUGCCCUUCAGAUGGGGACAACAUCCCGAAAGGGGUGCUAAUACCGAAUACAAUCGUUUUCCCGCAUGGGAUUACGAUGAAAGAUGGCCUCUGUUUACAAGCUAUCGCUGAAGGAUGGGCCUGCGUCUGAUUAGCUAGUUGGUGGGGUAACGGCCUACCAAGGCGAUGAUCAGUAGCCGGUCUGAGAGGAUGAACGGCCACAUUGGGACUGAGACACGGCCCAAACUCCUACGGGAGGCAGCAGUGGGGAAUAUUCCGCAAUGGACGAAAGUCUGACGGAGCAACGCCGCGUGAGUGAUGAAGGUUUUCGGACUGUAAAGCUCUGUUGUUCAGGACGAAAGUGCCUGUUGCAAAUAGUUACAGGUAUUGACGGUACUGAACGAGGAAGCCACGGCUAACUACGUGCCAGCCGCCGCGGUAA
rnacentral:rRNA from 1 species